rnacentral:rRNA from 1 species
CCUACGGGAGGCAGCAGUGGGGAAUAUUGGUCAAUGGGGGAAACCCUGAACCAGCAAUGCCGCGUGAAGGAAGAAGGCCUUCGGGUUGUAAACUUCUUUGAUCGGGGACGAAAAUGACGGUACCCGAGGAACAAGCCACGGCUAACUACGUGCCAGCAGCCGCGGUAAU